AGGCGAAACCUACCCCAGUCAAGAGAUUGGGGUAAGGUCUGGUGGGGUUGGUCGCCCACCACUGAUGAGCUGACCAAA
rfam:Moraxella lacunata strain CCTG 57757A contig_20, whole genome shotgun sequence.